rnacentral:rRNA from 1 species
AUUGAACGCUGGCGGCAUGCCUUACACAUGCAAGUCGAACGGUAACGCGGGGCAACCUGGCGACGAGUGGCGAACGGGUGAGUAAUGUAUCGGAACGUGCCCAGUUGUGGGGGAUAACUGCUCGAAAGAGCAGCUAAUACCGCAUACGACCUGAGGGUGAAAGCGGGGGAUCGCAAGACCUCGCGCAGUUGGAGCGGCCGAUAUCAGAUUAGGUAGUUGGUGGGGUAAAGGCUCACCAAGCCAACGAUCUGUAGCUGGUCUGAGAGGACGACCAGCCAAACUGGGACGGGAACACGGCCCAGACUCCUACGGGAGGCAGCAGUGGGGAAUUUGGUACAAUGGGGGCAACCCGGAUUCAGCCAUGCCGCGUGCGGGAAGAAGGCCUUCGGGUUGUAAACCGCUUUUGUCAGGGAAGAAAAGACUCCUGUUAAUACCGGGGGUUCAUGACGGUACCUGAAGAAUAAGCACCGGCUAACUACGUGCCAGCAGCCGCCGUAACAC